CGAACCGGGGGAACUGAAACAUCUAAGUACCCCGAGGAAAAGAAAUCAACCGAGAUUCCCCCAGUAGCGGCGAGCGAACGGGGAGCAGCCCAGAGCCUGAAUCAGUAUGUGUGUUAGUGGAAGCGUCUGGAAAGGCGCGCGAUACAGGGUGACAGCCCCGUACACAAAAAUGCACAUGCUGUGAGCUCGAUGAGUAGGGCGGGACACGUGGUAUCCUGUCUGAAUAUGGGGGGACCAUCCUCCAAGGCUAAAUACUCCUGACUGACCGAUAGUGAACCAGUACCGUGAGGGAAAGGCGAAAAGAACCCCGGCGAGGGGAGUGAAAAAGAACCUGAAACCGUGUACGUACAAGCAGUGGGAGCACGCUUAGGCGUGUGACUGCGUACCUUUUGUAUAAUGGGUCAGCGACUUAUAUUCUGUAGCAAGGUUAACCGAAUAGGGGAGCCGAAGGGAAACCGAGUCUUAACUGGGCGUUAAGUUGCAGGGUAUAGACCCGAAACCCGGUGAUCUAGCCAUGGGCAGGUUGAAGGUUGGGUAACACUAACUGGAGGACCGAACCGACUAAUGUUGAAAAAUUAGCGGAUGACUUGUGGCUGGGGGUGAAAGGCCAAUCAAACCGGGAGAUAGCUGGUUCUCCCCGAAAGCUAUUUAGGUAGCGCCUCGUGAAUUCAUCUCCGGGGGUAGAGCACUGUUUCGGCAAGGGGGUCAUCCCGACUUACCAACCCGAUGCAAACUGCGAAUACCGGAGAAUGUUAUCACGGGAGACACACGGCGGGUGCUAACGUCCGUCGUGAAGAGGGAAACAACCCAGACCGCCAGCUAAGGUCCCAAAGUCAUGGUUAAGUGGGAAACGAUGUGGGAAGGCCCAGACAGCCAGGAUGUUGGCUUAGAAGCAGCCAUCAUUUAAAGAAAGCGUAAUAGCUCACUGGUCGAGUCGGCCUGCGCGGAAGAUGUAACGGGGCUAAACCAUGCACCGAAGCUGCGGCAGCGACGCUGAUGCGUUGUUGGGUAGGGGAGCGUUCUGUAAGCCUGCGAAGGUGUGCUGUGAGGCAUGCUGGAGGUAUCAGAAGUGCGAAUGCUG
rnacentral:rRNA from 1 species